UUUAGGCAAUGCAGACAUAAUAAACGAAUGACAAAUUUUCUCUAUAUGGAAAAUAUUAUCAUGAAACCCAGGUAAAAACUUUUAACCAAGCACAUUGCCAUUCAAUUGUGUGUGUGUGUGUGUGCAUGUAUGUGCGUGUGUGUAGAAAAAGACAAACAUCCAGUUUUUCAAA
rnacentral:sRNA from 1 species